rnacentral:rRNA from 1 species
UACAGAGGGGGCAAGCGUUAUUCGGAAUUAUUGGGCGUAAAGGGCGCGUAGGCGGCUUGGCAAGUGACGGGUGAAAUCCCUCGGCUUAACCGAGGAACUGCCUGUCAGACUGCUUUGCUUGAGUCCGGGAGAGGUGAGUGGAAUUCCCAGUGUAGCGGUGAAAUGCGUAGAUAUUGGGAGGAACACCAGUGGCGAAGGCGGCUCACUGGACCGGAACUGACGCUGAGGCGCGAAAGCGUGGGGAGCAAACAGG